CCACCAGCAUUCAACACUGUGUCCAAAUCCUUGGUUAAUGCCUUUGCUUCUUCAACCGUUGACACUGAAGUGCAGACGUCAUCCAUAUAGGUAUCGUUGAGCAAGACCUGUGCUGCAUUAGGGGAUUUCUCUUCUCCUUCCUUUGCUGUCAGCUUUAACGCAGUUUGUGCCAUUGCGGCAGCCGGUUUAUCACCAAGCGUCAAAACUUGCAUUAUGCAGAUCCAUGCUCGUUGUUUUUGAUCAACCUCUUCUCUAAUCCACUCAGCAUCUUCUUGGCUUGCCAUCUAUUUUCGGGAAGAAUGGCCGGAUUUUUUACCCACGGACAAAGUGCGUCUUUUCCCCUGGUCAUUGAAUCUCAUGUUUUAAGUGUUGGUAAACAUCGCAGGAGUAGGCAACCCUACCAGUUCCUUGCUCAAGGACACAAGCGACAUUUAGUACCAGUACAGCGAGGGACUGAAACCCAGACUUCGAGGUUGAGAAACCAUACCGUUCCCGCUGCACCAAACCGCUUCUCUCAACAUACAAAAUUAUUGUUGUUUUAAUUACAUUGUACUGAUUUCAUAUUAUAAAUAAAUUGUAUUUGCAUUUGCACGAGAGCAAAGUGGGCGUGGUCGAGUGUCGCUUAAAAUAUUUAGAAAGUGCUCGAAAAUUUUGCCAAUUUGAGGGUUUCAAAAUGCUUAAUUAAUCUAUUUUGGAGUCUCUAAUAAAUGUAGAAACUAGGCAGUGGCGGCUCUAGGAUAUC